rnacentral:sRNA from 1 species
UGCGACAUCUGUCACUCUAUUGAUCACCAGGGUUGAUUUAGCUCAUCUGGCCGGCUAGGCAGGUACCU